CAGCCGCGGUAAUACGUAGGGGGCUAGCGUUAUCCGGAUUUACUGGGCGUAAAGGGUGCGUAGGCGGUCUUUCAAGUCAGGAGUGAAAGGCUACGGCUCAACCGUAGUAAGCUCUUGAAACUGGGAGACUUGAGUGCAGGAGAGGAGAGUGGAAUUCCUAGUGUAGCGGUGAAAUGCGUAGAUAUUAGGAGGAACACCAGUUGCGAAGGCGGC
rnacentral:rRNA from 1 species